ACGCCAAAUUUUCCCAAACACGUUGAAACCACACCGCUUUUUCAGUGCCCUGCGGCCAGCCACGUCACCCCCCCCCACGUCACCUCCGCAGCGAGGGCUGGCCCGAGGGAGCUCCAGGGCCCUCCGUCCCCCAACCCCACCCUGAAACUGCUCUUUUUCCGUAUAAACACAAAAGGAGGGGAAAGGUUCGCUAACGAGGCUUGGACUGAGCCCUGCUGCAGGAGAUGCCAGCUGCAGAAGCCCGUCGAGCGACGAAGAUCACGACGCAGAUCCCCGUUCCCAAAGCGGUGACAAAUCCCCCCCCCCAGCUUCCAGGCUCCGCCGCUGCGGUUCCGCUGCCUGGAGAGACGCCAAACCCCAGCGACCGCAAAACCCAGCUCAAAGUUUCCACGCUUUUUUUAUUGAGAAACGUCCCCAAACGGCGACACGCUCACAGAAGGCAACCGAGACGGCACGGCAGAAGCUCUCCGCCGAGCUGCUGCUGGGCGGAGGGG